GACGAACGCUGGCGGCGUGCUUAACACAUGCAAGUCGAACGAAGAGCGAUGGAAGCUUGCUUCUAUCAGUCUUAGUGGCGAACGGGUGAGUAACGCGUAAUCAACCUGCCCUUCAGAGGGGGACAACAGAUGGAAACGACUGCUAAUACCGCAUACGAUCUAACCUCGGCAUCGAGGAUAGAUGAAAGGUGGCCUCUAUUUAUAAGCUAUCACUGAAGGAGGGGAUUGCGUCUGAUUAGCUAGUUGGAGGGGUAACGGCCCACCAAGGCGAUGAUCAGUAGCCGGUCUGAGAGGAUGAGCGGCCACAUUGGGACUGAGACACGGCCCAGACUCCUACGGGAGGCAGCAGUGGGGAAUCUUCCGCAAAUGGACGAAAGUCUGACGGAGCAACGCCGCGUGAGUGAUGACGGCCUUCGGGUUGUAAAGCUCUGUUAAUCGGGACGAAAGGCCCUUCUUGCGAAUAGUUAGAAGGUUUGACGGUACCGGAAUAGAAAGCCACGGCUAACUACGUGCCAGCAGCCGCGGUAAUACGUAGGUGGCAAGCGUUGUUCCGGAAUUAUUGAGCGUAAAGCGCGCGCAGGCGGAUCGGUCAGUCUGUUCUUAAAAGUUCGGGGCUUAACCCCGUGAUGGGAUGGGAACUGCCAAUCUAGAGUAUUCGGAGAGGAAAGUGGAAUUCCUAGUGUAGCGGUGAAAUGCGUAGAUAUUAGGAGGAACACCCGUGGCGAAGGCGACUUUCUGGACGAAAACUGACGCUGAGGCGCGAAAGCCAGGGGAGCGAACGGGAUUAGAUACCCCGGUAGACCUGGCCGUAAACGAUGGGUACUAGGGGUAGGAGGUAUCGACCCCCUUCUGUGCCGGAGUUAACGCAAUAAGUACCCCGCCUGGGGAGUACGACCGCAAGGUUGAAACUCAAAGGAAUUGACGGGGGCCCGCACAAGCGGUGGAGUAUGUGGUUUAAUUCGACGCAACGUGAAGAACCUUACCAGGUCUUGACAUUGAUGGACAGAACUAGAGAUAGUUCCUCUUCUUCGGAAGCCAGAAAACAGGUGGUGCACGGUUGUCGUCUGCUCGUGUCGUGAGAUGUUGGGUUAAGUCCCGCAAUGAGCGCAACCCCUAUCUUAUGUUGCCAGCACUUUGGGUGGGAACUCAUGAGAGACUGCCGCAGACAAUGCGGAGGAAGGCGGGGAUGACGUCAAAUCAUCAUGCCCCUUAUGACCUGGGCUACACACGUACUACAAUGGGAGUUAAUAGACGGAAGCAAUACCGCGAGGUGGAGCAAACCCGAGAAACACUCUCUCAGUUCGGAUCGUAGGCUGCAACUCGCCUACGUGAAGUCGGAAUCGCUAGUAAUCGCAGGUCAGCAUACUGCGGUGAAUACGUUCCCGGGCCUUGUACUCACCGCCCGUCA
rnacentral:rRNA from 1 species